rnacentral:rRNA from 1 species
UACGGGGGGAGCAAGCGUUGUUCGGAUUUACUGGGCGUAAAGGGCGCGUAGGCGGCCACCGCAAGUCACUUGUGAAAUCUCCGGGCUUAACCCGGAAAGGUCAACUGAUACUGCGGGGCUAGAGUGCAGAAGGGGCAACUGGAAUUCUCGGUGUAGCGGUGAAAUGCGUAGAUAUCGAGAGGAACACCUGCGGCGAAGGCGGGUUGCUGGGCUGACACUGACGCUGAGGCGCGAAAGCUAGGGGAGCGAACGGG